UACAGAGGGGGCAAGCGUUGUCCGGAAUUACUGGGCGUACAGCGCGCGCAGGCGGUUGCCGACGUGCCGUGUGACAAGCGGGGGCUCAACCCCCGAGGGCCACGGUAAACGGGGCGACUGGAGGGAGGGAGAGGGAUGUGGAAUGCCCGGUGGAGCGGUGAAAUGCGUAGAGAUCGGGCGGAACACCAGCGGCGAAGGCGGCAUCCUGGACCGGCAUUGACGCUGAGGCGCGAAAGCCAGGGGAGCAAACGGG
rnacentral:rRNA from 1 species